GAAUUAACGGCCGCCUGGCAAAGUGCGGCGAAGUGUGGUGAAGCCUGCGCUAGCGCAACUCCGCAGGUUAGUGAAUAUGUCCCUUUGAUUGUUGCCUCGAGGGUGAGAUUUUUCUUUGCCUAUUCUGCCUCUCUGACAACUCUUCUCCCUUCUCAAUUACCAAUUAUAUUUAAUUUGUAUUUUACCAGGGAUCAACAGCAGCAUAUACCAAGAGUGGUUAUUGUGUUAACAGAUUUCCUUCAUUGCUCCCUGGAGGGAACAUUCGCAACAAUACAAGUGGCAAAGAUUACACCAUCCUGGACUGUAUAUACAACGAGGAGAAUCGAACAUAUUAUGUGCUGGAGGGGGCAUCCAGUGUAUAACUGUCAGAGAGCAACAUGACUAUGACCCACAGUCCAGCUUUUCCAUUGCACAGACCGAUUUCUGAUUUUACUGGCUCCAGUCAAAGUUGCACGAACAAGAAGGACUGUGUAACAUCUCAAAGUGCAACCCAGUCGAUGGCUUUCUCUUCUACCACAAGCAUACUCACUACACACCAGGCAGCACUCCUUUGGUUGGUUGUCUGAGACCGUAUAUGGUCCCUAAAAUUCUAGGCUUUCCUGUACCACCUUGUCCCCUUGCGCAAAAGCCUGCUUAUGCCCAGUAACAGAUACGCCAGAUCCUUGAACAUAAAAAAGGGGGUAAAGGGACUGCAGAGGAUGGACACUAUGAACUAGAACACCUUUCCACCCUUGGUGCACUGGAGUGAAACUGAUUGAAAAGAUAAAGAAGGCUGAUAGGUGCUGCUGUCAGUGAAUUUUCCACAUUUGUACAGCUUGUACAAUCCUAUAGUUCAAAAAGAAACUCGCUCCUAUCACUUGUAACAAUGCUGAGAUUCCAGAGCUUGUGCAUAUGGAUACAUAUAGAUCUUUUAUACAUAAAUGACAUUGGCCAAAAUCGCAGCUGUAAAAUACAUGGUUUGCUGAAUAUAUGCUCAGUACUAUACUCAUUGAGGAAUCUGAGCAAUAUUUGAUGUAAACUAUUCAUUUUUUUUAAAGAUUUUUUGUAUGUGUCAGUAUUAAAAUAGAAAAAAAUAUGAAA